UCUUGCGAACGAUGGGACGAAUGGUCGUGUACAGAGAAAGACAUAAACGUGCGUAUGGCAGGAACGUGGAAGAGUGGACCGGCGUGGUGAUUACGCGCUCGAGGCACUCUUGGAACAAAGCGCCCUCUGUCCUAGCGAACACGACGACCUAUCCCAACGCGUAGCAACUCGCGCGUGCACGCGUGUGCACCGUACACGCCAGACGCGAACGGAAUCGGGCUUGGCUGAAUGGUUUCGAACCGGGCCAUUCGUCGAUGUACGCGCGAAUAUCGACAAAAAUAUACCAACACAGCGUAGGAUCGCGUUCAUUCAACGCGAUUUCGAGCGGCGAUCGACGAUGCAUCGCAUGACAAUCUGCAACUCUGACUCAGCCGCGACAGUCAGGUUUACUCCGAUGAAAUGUACUGGAAUGUUUACGAAACGUCCGAACAAAACGCGGCGUACCGAUAACACUAUGGAAAUUCGAAGAACCAUAAAUAUGUCAUCGUGAAAGCUUGAAAUCUAAGAUAAUAAAUUGGUCAGCUUUAAAAUCCAGCGAACAUUGACUCGUCAUAGUAGAAGAGAGCGGCUUUUAGGCGGAUCAUUACCGGUAACCGACGUUGGUCGGACAAUGCCGAGCCUUGUCUCCUUCCUUCUCUUCUUACGUAUGUAGAUCGUUACGGUAGCCGACCUAGUCUUUAACCGCAUCGCUCGAGACGAAUGACGAGGUAGAAGAAACUCGACGAAACUCCGACAGUUCUCAUUGGUACGAGACUAUGCGGAUCGUUGUCCUCUGCUCGAAGCAAGCUUCUUCUCGAAACAGGUGUAGGUAACAGCGAAUAUCAACUAUCGUCGAACGUUCGCUUGUAUCGAGGUAACGUCCGAAGAAUGAUAUUUCAGUUGCGACUGUGAUAAGCUCGAAGUGUUUAUGGAUUACGAGCGAUAAAACUCUAUGCAAACUUACGAUGCUCGCUGACUACCAGUAAAAUGCUACUAAAUAGCUUCCAGCUAAUUAACGCCAGCUAUCGACCCAUCAUCGAUUGAUUGAGUUUCAAUGGUUUAUCGGCUGACUAAAACGAAUCAAGAAACUGUUUCUUCGAUUAAUUGUUAACACGUUUGUCAAUACAAUACCAGGAAUAUCUGUUUUGUCAGCAAUUAAAAUCUCCACAAAUCUUUUUCAUUACGUUUACUUUUGUUUCUUUACGAUACAAACUGUUUGCAACGAAUCGGUGAAAUAGUAUCAAUUAAGGAGAGUUUACGGUUUAAACGCCGACUCAUUUUAAUUAGUAUUAAUUAAAUUAGAAUAAAGUUAUAUCAUAAAUUCUCGUGACUUAUUUAUACCAAAUAUUAAAUAAUAUUUUUCAACUGGGUGUCGAGAGUUUCGAACCGCGAAAAUAGCACAAUGUUUCGAAACUAUCAUUUAACGUACUUUUUGACAGUACUUUGCUGUUUUGUUCAAUUAAUGAAAUUCGUAUAAACCAAGACGAAGAGUUAAAAAUUCAUGUGGCCUUAAAAAUGUUCACCGAUGCAACCAUCGCUGCGACUUAUUGAAAUCUCGGUCGAUUGGAACGAUCGCAGAUAAAAUAUUAAGAAAUCCGUGUCUCCGGGUGAAUUCGCAGAAAUUCUAGUUUCUCUUUGUCAAGUUUCGUAGUAACGCGUUUUACGCCGAGACACAAGGAAAUACAUGCGUGCCGGAAAGCGUAAGAGAGAGACAAAGAAAGUGAGAACGGUGAUAGAAUAACAGAAGAAAAAAGGGACGAAGCAGGGAUGCUGAAAGCCGAGAAGGACAAGAGACGAGAGUAAGAGCUGGCAUACGAAGCGUGGGUAUGCGCCACUUUGGAAUUAUGCAACGGGCAAGUUUUAGUGGGCCGUAUAGUUACGCCAUAAGGAUAGUCGUUCGUUUAUAGUCGCCUCCUGUUGUCUUUCGCGCACGGCGGUAUCUACUGGUACGUCUCCUUUGCGUAUUCUCCUACAACAGUACAAAAUCACAUUUCACCGUGUAAAAUAAAUCGUGUAUUUGUUGAACGUUGUCACAGUGAACAUGAAAUAAUAAAGCUGGGAACUGUGUUUGUUAACUGUUGUGAAAAUAAACAUAAAACGAUAUAAAGAUAGAAUCCGGAAGAUUAAAUAUAGUAGGUAAAUUGAUAAUAAAGCGGAAAUCUCUUCUUUCUCCGAUUUUA